GUUUAGUGAUGAUCCCCCAUGCGUGUCAACUGAUCCCAGAAUCCCCUGCUGCUUCGGGCCGCCUGUUAGCGUUCUGUUAACAGGUGUGCACGGAGCCUCAGGGCUCUGGGGCCAUGAUCAGAACCUACUGUGGCUGAAAAC